rnacentral:tRNA from 1 species
GCCGAGGUAGCUCAGCUGGUAGAGCAACUGUUUUGUAAACAGUAGGUCGUGGGUUCGAAUCCCUCCCUCGGCU